CGUUUGACUUAUAAAAAUGGUGGAAACAUAGAUUAAGUUAUUAAGGGCGCACGGUGGAUGCCUUGGCACUAGAAGCCGAUGAAGGACGUUACUAACGACGAUAUGCUUUGGGGAGCUGUAAGUAAGCUUUGAUCCAGAGAUUUCCGAAUGGGGAAACCCAGCAUGAGUUAUGUCAUGUUAUCGAUAUGUGAAUACAUAGCAUAUCAGAAGGCACACCCGGAGAACUGAAACAUCUUAGUACCCGGAGGAAGAGAAAGAAAAUUCGAUUCCCUUAGUAGCGGCGAGCGAAAUGGGAAGAGCCCAAACCAACAAGCUUGCUUGUUGGGGUUGUAGGACACUCUAUACGGAGUUACAAAGGACGACAUUAGACGAAUCAUCUGGAAAGAUGAAUCAAAGAAGGUAAUAAUCCUGUAGUCGAAAAUGUUGUCUCUCUUGAGUGGAUCCUGAGUACGACGGAGCACGUGAAAUUCCGUCGGAAUCUGGGAGGACCAUCUCCUAAGGCUAAAUACUCUCUAGUGACCGAUAGUGAACCAGUACCGUGAGGGAAAGGUGAAAAGCACCCCGGAAGGGGAGUGAAAUAGAACCUGAAACCGUGUGCUUACAAGUAGUCAGAGCCCGUUAAUGGGUGAUGGCGUGCCUUUUGUAGAAUGAACCGGCGAGUUACGAUUUGAUGCAAGGUUAAGCAGUAAAUGUGGAGCCGUAGCGAAAGCGAGUCUGAAUAGGGCGUUUAGUAUUUGGUCGUAGACCCGAAACCAGGUGAUCUACCCUUGGUCAGGUUGAAGUUCAGGUAACACUGAAUGAAGGACCGAACCGACUUACGUUGAAAAGUGAGCGGAUGAACUGAGGGUAGCGGAGAAAUUCCAAUCGAACCUGGAGAUAGCUGGUUCUCUCCGAAAUAGCUUUAGGGCUAGCCUCAAGUGAUGAUUAUUGGAGGUAGAGCACUGUUUGGACGAGGGGCCCCUCUCGGGUUACCGAAUUCAGACAAACUCCGAAUGCCAAUUAAUUUAACUUGGGAGUCAGAACAUGGGUGAUAAGGUCCGUGUUCGAAAGGGAAACAGCCCAGACCACCAGCUAAGGUCCCAAAAUAUAUGUUAAGUGGAAAAGGAUGUGGCGUUGCCCAGACAACUAGGAUGUUGGCUUAGAAGCAGCCAUCAUUUAAAGAGUGCGUAAUAGCUCACUAGUCGAGUGACACUGCGCCGAAAAUGUACCGGGGCUAAACAUAUUACCGAAGCUGUGGAUUGUCCUUUGGACAAUGGUAGGAGAGCGUUCUAAGGGCGUUGAAGCAUGAUCGUAAGGACAUGUGGAGCGCUUAGAAGUGAGAAUGCCGGUGUGAGUAGCGAAAGACGGGUGAGAAUCCCGUCCACCGAUUGACUAAGGUUUCCAGAGGAAGGCUCGUCCGCUCUGGGUUAGUCGGGUCCUAAGCUGAGGCCGACAGGCGUAGGCGAUGGAUAACAGGUUGAUAUUCCUGUACCACCUAUAAUCGUUUUAAUCGAUGGGGGGACGCAGUAGGAUAGGCGAAGCGUGCGAUUGGAUUGCACGUCUAAGCAGUAAGGCUGAGUAUUAGGCAAAUCCGGUACUCAUUAAGGCUGAGCUGUGAUGGGGAGAAGACAUUGUGUCUUCGAGUCGUUGAUUUCACACUGCCGAGAAAAGCCUCUAGAUAGAAAAUAGGUGCCCGUACCGCAAACCGACACAGGUAGUCAAGAUGAGAAUUCUAAGGUGAGCGAGCGAACUCUCGUUAAGGAACUCGGCAAAAUGACCCCGUAACUUCGGGAGAAGGGGUGCUCUUUAGGGUUAACGCCCAGAAGAGCCGCAGUGAAUAGGCCCAAGCGACUGUUUAUCAAAAACACAGGUCUCUGCUAAACCGUAAGGUGAUGUAUAGGGGCUGACGCCUGCCCGGUGCUGGAAGGUUAAGAGGAGUGGUUAGCUUCUGCGAAGCUACGAAUCGAAGCCCCAGUAAACGGCGGCCGUAACUAUAACGGUCCUAAGGUAGCGAAAUUCCUUGUCGGGUAAGUUCCGACCCGCACGAAAGGCGUAACGAUUUGGGCACUGUCUCAACGAGAGACUCGGUGAAAUCAUAGUACCUGUGAAGAUGCAGGUUACCCGCGACAGGACGGAAAGACCCCGUGGAGCUUUACUGUAGCCUGAUAUUGAAAUUCGGCACAGCUUGUACAGGAUAGGUAGGAGCCUUUGAAACGUGAGCGCUAGCUUACGUGGAGGCGCUGGUGGGAUACUACCCUAGCUGUGUUGGCUUUCUAACCCGCACCACUUAUCGUGGUGGGAGACAGUGUCAGGCGGGCAGUUUGACUGGGGCGGUCGCCUCCUAAAAGGUAACGGAGGCGCUCAAAGGUUCCCUCAGAAUGGUUGGAAAUCAUUCAUAGAGUGUAAAGGCAUAAGGGAGCUUGACUGCGAGACCUACAAGUCGAGCAGGGUCGAAAGACGGACUUAGUGAUCCGGUGGUUCCGCAUGGAAGGGCCAUCGCUCAACGGAUAAAAGCUACCCCGGGGAUAACAGGCUUAUCUCCCCCAAGAGUUCACAUCGACGGGGAGGUUUGGCACCUCGAUGUCGGCUCAUCGCAUCCUGGGGCUGUAGUCGGUCCCAAGGGUUGGGCUGUUCGCCCAUUAAAGCGGUACGCGAGCUGGGUUCAGAACGUCGUGAGACAGUUCGGUCCCUAUCCGUCGUGGGCGUAGGAAAUUUGAGAGGAGCUGUCCUUAGUACGAGAGGACCGGGAUGGACAUACCUCUGGUGUACCAGUUGUCGUGCCAACGGCAUAGCUGGGUAGCUAUGUGUGGACGGGAUAAGUGCUGAAAGCAUCUAAGCAUGAAGCCCCCCUCAAGAUGAGAUUUCCCAACUUCGGUUAUAAGAUCCCUCAAAGAUGAUGAGGUUAAUAGGUUCGAGGUGGAAGCAUGGUGACAUGUGGAGCUGACGAAUACUAAUCGAUCGAAGACUUAAUCAA
rnacentral:rRNA from 1 species